rnacentral:rRNA from 1 species
UAAGUAAUGUGAAUUGCAGAAUUCAGUGAAUCAUCGAAUCUUUGAACGCACCUUGCGCCCUUUGGUAUUCCGAAGGGCAUGCCUGUUUGAGUGUCAUUAAAUUCUCAACCCAAAAAGCUUUUACUAGCUCUUUUGUGGCUUGGAUGUGGGGGUUUUUGCUGGCUUCCUUCAGUGGAUGGUCUGCUCCCCUUAAAUACAUUAGUGGGAUCUCUUGUGGACCGUCACUUGGUGUGAUAAUUAUCUAUGCCAGUUGACUUUGAAGCAAAACUUAUGGGAACCCGCUCAUAACCGUCUUCGGACAACUUAUUGACAUUUUGACCUCAAAUCAGGUAGGACUACCGCUGAACUUAA